rnacentral:rRNA from 1 species
UACGAAGGGGGCUAGCGUUGCUCGGAAUCACUGGGCGUAAAGGGUGCGUAGGCGGGUUCUUAAGUCAGAGGUGAAAUCCUGGAGCUCAACUCCAGAACUGCCUUUGAUACUGAGAGUCUUGAGUUCGGGAGAGGUGAGUGGAACUGCGAGUGUAGAGGUGAAAAUUCGUAGAUAUUCGCAAGACACCAGUGGCGAAGGCGG